AGUGGAGCCGUCCUUGAAAUACCACCCUGGUAAUGUUGAGGUUCUAACUCUGUCCCGUGAUCCGGGACGAGGACCGUGUCUGGUGGGUAGUUUGACUGGGGCGGUCUCCUCCUAAAGAGUAACGGAGGAGUACGAAGGUGCGCUCAGCGUGGUCGGAAAUCACGCGUAGAGUAUAAAGGCAAAAGCGCGCUUAACUGCGAGACCCACAAGUCGAGCAGGUACGAAAGUAGGUCUUAGUGAUCCGGUGGUU
rnacentral:rRNA from 1 species